AUGCCAUGGUGUGGGCAUGUUGCAAUGUAUUCCUGGAGACGUUCCCAGGCUUCCGAGAUUGUCUUAUCUGGAGUUGUUGAAAACUGGAAAUCGUGUUCCGUAGGGCAU